rnacentral:rRNA from 1 species
UAAGCCUGUGAAGGUGUGUCGUGAGGCAUGCUGGAGGUAUCAGAAGUGCGAAUGCUGACAUAAGUAACGAUAAAGCGGGUGAAAAGCCCGCUCGCCGGAAGACCAAGGGUUCCUGUCCAACGUUAAUCGGGGCAGGGUGAGUCGACCCCUAAGGCGAGGCCGAAAGGCGUAGUCGAUGGGAAACGGGUUAAUAUUCCCGUACUUGGUGUUACUGCGAAGGGGGGACGGAGAAGGCUAUGUUGGCCGGGCGACGGUUGUCCCGGUUUAAGCGUGUAGGUGUGUGUUCCAGGUAAAUCCGGUUCACUUUAACACUGAGGCGUGACGACGAGGCACUACGGUGCUGAAGCAACAAAUGCCCUGCUUCCAGGAAAAGCCUCUAAGCAUCAGGUAACACGAAAUCGUACCCCAAACCGACACAGGUGGUCAGGUAGAGAAUACCAAGGCGCUUGAGAGAACUCGGGUGAAGGAACUAGGCAAAAUGGUGCCGUAACUUCGGGAGAAGGCACGCUGACACGUAGGUGAAGUGAUUUACUCA